CCUGGCGGUAGCACCCUUCCUCUUAAAGCAAUGAAAGGACGGAUGACUCCCCGCACAAUUAAUGCAUCAGAACCUGCAAGAAUUUGGCCAUUUACACUGUGACUCAUUAAAAGACAACAAACACCUUUUGGGCGUAUUUGCAACCCACUAGCCUGAGUCUGUGAUCUAUAUUAAUUCUGAAGAAUCCUGCUUGGUAGCAUAAUGCUUACCCAAGAACCAACAUCCUUCAUACCCCAUUUCAAAUUUGUAUGCACUGAUAAUUUCUGAUGAAAUAUUUUGUCAUAAUUGAACCAAGCCAAUCCACC